ensembl:lncRNA
CUGAGCCCAAGUGAGCUGUUUGGGGAAGUAACAGGGUUUGGGAUCAAAUUGGAAAUCCAAGACCCCGAUUUCGGUUCUUCCAGUGCAGUACAUCACACGCACCCCGCAGUGAAAUCCUUAUCCAUAAACUAUGCAUAAUUCUAUAACCCCUUUGCAUGUUUUUUCCAGCCCUGUUUUCACAUCCUACCCGCCCCUCUGCUGGGCACCUCGCUGGAAUGACCGCCAGCUGUGCCACAGGCUGUCGAGUUCCCUGAGCCUGCCGUAAAUAACCCUGCUUCUCCUUUGUUACCGCUCAGAUCCUGCCGUUGCCAGAGCCGGUGCUGCGGAAGAAACGAAGCUGGUGUAUCCCUACUGUUGCAGACCCGAGAUGGUGCAGAGCCUAGAGGGUUAAAGCAACAGGAUGAAGUCAGCAUAAAACAGCCUACAAGGACUGGCAAAUAAAUAAAUCAUCCUAACUACGUUAUUAUCAUGGCUUGCCUGAGCUUCAUUGUCUCUUUCGUUCUUACCUGAAUGCCUGUUACAUUUUUCUCCUUGUUCAAGAGAGGCAAUCCAAAGAGACUGUGAGCAGUAAAUGGCUCCUGCUGGAUGUUGCUAAAAAUAUUACCUUACCUCUCUACAUCUAGAGGUCAAUUGAAAAAUCAAAAUACUGAGGUCAGCAACCCUGCAGACUGUUCUGUUGGGGAGAUUUCUUGCAUUUCUUCCCAGAAGGAGACUAUAAAACUAUCUGAAAGCAUAUGAAAGAAAUUCUCUUACAUUCUGCCUGCAGCUCAGCACCCUCCUCUGCGCUGAUGGCUGUAGCUCAGAGAGGCUUCCCCAGGCACUUGGAAAUUGCAUUUCUGGAUACAGCUUUGUAAGACUGGCAGAUGUGUUCUGCACAGUUCUGUCAUAUCUCCCAGCUCUCAGGCAGACAAAAUUAGCUUUGGUGCAGUUAAGAAGGAGAUGAUGUGUUCGACGUAUUGCAGUUUGAGUACGUGUCUGUACCUGCUUCCUUUUGUCUUAGGGAAGAUAGGUGCCACUACAGGACAGCAGCAUUACAGCCCCAGACCAGAUGAAAGAGUGGAAAGAUAUUUCAUGAACGGAGGUGCAACAUCUGCAUGCAAAGAAAAAAAAAAGUAUAAAAUCCUGGAAUUGAUGGAGAAUCUGUCUAGUUAAAGGACUUAGAUCAGGCAUGAGAAAGGAGAAGAAAAAGAGCAGAGUUGGAGAGACGUACUUUACUAAAAAAAGCAGGAAGAAUCACGUUGGGGAAGCUUUUAAUGGCAAAAUAUAAAAAAAUCAAAACAAGUAUGGAUGUGAUGAGACUGUAUGGCCAUGGCUGUCUCUUAGAAAGUGAAAAAUGACUGGUAGAUGAAUGUGUACUAUUUCUCUGCAAAUAAUGUACUGGUAGAGCUCAAGAAUCCGUACAGUGAGCACCCAGUCACCUCCACUGCAGUGGCUUUUCCUGUGUAGCAUUUCCCCAAUUUGGAGCUGAUACUUUCUCACCAUGGCCUUACCGCUUCGUUGCUGAAUUCCUAAAGGAUGGCAGGAUGGCCAAAGACUCAAGCAAGCAGUCCUGCAAUCAGAUCGGUCCAGUUCACUAGAAGGGUUUGUUAUAAAUAACACUGCUGUUGCCAUCUCACUGGAGCUGGUGUUAGCCAUCAUCUCUCAGUGCCUGUCCUUGGUAUGGGUAUGUAUCAGUCAGGCAGUUCACC